UCAAGCAAUCCUCUCACCUUGGCCCCCCACAGGGCAAAGAUUACAGGUAUGAGCCACCAUGCCUGGCCCCUACCCUGCCUAUUGAGAACCAAAAGAAGGAUCCAAAUUCUCCUUAGCUCAACUCGAGCCAUUUCCUGAUUGCUUCAUCAGCAAGGAGCUUGUUAUUGGGCUGUCCAGGCCUCCCAAGCAGCACAGAAAUGAGAAACAGGACCUUGCCCUGUCACUCAGGAUGGAGUUCAGUGGUCCAAUCAUGGCUCAUUGUAGCCUCAAACUCCCAGGCUCAAGCAGUCCUACCAUGUCAGCCUUCCCAGUAGCUGGGACUACAGCUGGAUCUACCAUGAACGACUUCUGAAUCCAGGAAGAGAGACUGACUGGGCAACAUGUUAUUCAGGUACAAAAAGAUUUGGACUGUAACUCAAAAAUGAUCAAAUGAUAGUGCAUGCAUCAAGUGCAAUGGGAAGCUCUUCUGGAGAGUGAGAAAAGCUUCCAGUUAAGGUGACAUUGAAGCCAAGUCCUGAAAGAUGAGGA
rnacentral:sRNA from 1 species